rnacentral:rRNA from 1 species
CCUACGGGAGGCAGCAGUGGGGAAUAUUGCGCAAUGGGCGCAAGCCUGACGCAGCGACGUCGCGUGAGGGAUGAAGGUCUUCGGAUCGUAAACCUCUGUCAGCAGGGAAGAACGGUCACUGUGCUAAUCAGCAGUGAAUUGACGGUACCUGCAAACGAAGCACCGGCUAACUCCGUGCCAGCAGCCGCGGUAAUACGGAGGGUGCGAGCGUUAAUCGGAAUUACUGGGGGUAAAGCGCUCGUAGGCGGUAUGUCAAGUCAAGGGUGAAAUCCCCGCGCUGAACGUGGGAACUGCCUUUGAAACUGGCAAACUUGAGUGUGUGAGAGGAUAGUGGAAUUCCAGGUGUAGGAGUGAAAUCCGUAGAUAUCUGGAGGAACAUCAGUGGCGAAGGCGACUAUCUGGCACAUAACUGACGCUGAGGAGCGAAAGCGUGGGUAGCAAACAGGAUUAGAUACCCGAGUAGUC